rnacentral:rRNA from 1 species
AGAGUUUGAUCAUGGCUCAGAACGAACGCUGGCGGCAGGCCUAACACAUGCAAGUCAAGCGCAGUCCUUCGGGACCGAGCGGCGGACGGGUUAGUAACGCGUGGGAAUGUACCCUUCUCUAAGGAAUAGCCUCGGGAAACUGAGAGUAAUACCUUAUACGCCCUUCGGGGGAAAGAUUUAUCGGAGAAGGAUCAGCCCGCGUUAGAUUAGAUAGUUGGUGGGGUAAUGGCCUACCAAGGCGACGAUCCAUAGCUGGUCUGAGAGGAUGAUCAGCCACACUGGAACUGAGACACGGUCCAGACUCCUACGGGAGGCAGCAGUGGGGAAUAUUGGACAAUGGGGGCAACCCUGAUCCAGCCAUGCCGCGCGUGUGAAGAAGGCUCUAGGGUUGUAAAGCACUUUAAGUAGGGAGGAAGG